UCGCGAUAAUCUACUUAAGGAACAGAAAGAUAAAAAUCCAAAGAAAUUUGGAAAAGUUUUCAUAACAAUCAAAAAGUAUAAAUAAAAUUAAAACAAUUACCAGGGAAUUAAACAAAAAAUAGAGAUUCAGUUCAAAAAAGGGUGAGGGGGUCGAACUAGGCGUAUAUAUAAUCUAAUCGUUAUAAGACAGCUGGGGGAUUUUUUCCAAGAAUGAUUCUCGAAUACGAUUGAAUCGAAGAUACAACGAAUUGGUUUACGACAAAGUAUGUAUGGCUCGCGAUAAUCUACUUAAGGAACAGAAAGAUAAAAAUCCAAAGAAAUUUGGAAAAGUUUUCAUAACAAUCAAAAAGUAUAAAUAAAAUUAAAACAAUUACCAGGGAAUUAAAUAAAAAAUAGAGAUUCAAUUCAAAAAAGGGUGAGGGGGUCGAACUAGGCGUAUAUAUAAUCUAAUCGUUAUAAGACAGCUGGGGGAUUUUUUCCAAGAAUGAUUCUCGAAUACGAUUGAAUCGAAGAUACAAUGAAUUGGUUUACGGUAUGGAACAAACACAUGUAUAUGUCAUAGUAGAUAUUCAUUAGUUAUAGAUGACUAUCUAUCUAAAUUUGUCCUGCUACUACUCUAAAUUUAGGUAGGGAUUCAAAAAAAAAAGCCCACUUCCAUCUCUUGUAAUUGUGAAUUGAAUAUAAAAUGAAAUCAAAGAAAAAGGAAGGUUUAAAAUAAAUGUAAGAUAAGACCAAAAAUUGUCUGUAUUCACAAAAAACUACAAGGGUAGAAACGACAUCUCUUGUAAUUGUGAAUUGAAUAUAAAAUGAAAUCAAAGAAAAAGGAAGGUUUAAAAUAAAUGUAAGAUAAGACCAAAAAUUGUCUGUAUUCACAAAAAACUACAAGGGUAGAAACGAAAAAAGCAAAUAUCGAAAUAAUUGAGAUAAUUCAAUCAAAAUUAUUCCGUUUGAAAUUUUGAAUUACACUUCGACUAGAGAAAGAUAACUAGGAAGAAUGAAAUAAUUAAGUCAUAUAUUUUUUGUUGAUUAUAUUAUUUACUAUUUCUUAAUUUUAUUUGGAAUAGGAGAAACUUAUCAUGAAUCCACUGAUUGCUGCUGCUUCUGUUAUCGCUGCUGGGUUGGCCGUCGGGCUUGCUUCUAUUGGAC
rnacentral:lncRNA from 1 species